CACAUGGUAAGCUGUAAAUGUUGCUUACUAAGAGAAGGUGGAUAUUACUGGCAAACUGAGCUGAAAUACAAUGAGGCUACUUUCAGAGGACACAUGACAAUGAGGAAUGAAGUCAACGGAGACCCUUAGAGUUCCCUCCAGGAGUCAUCUCACUGAACUAUUAGAAGGCACCAUAACAAACCACCUCUGGCACCUCAUCUUCAAUCAAAAGAGGAAUGACUAUUCUCCAGAGUACCCAGCUCCACAUUGUUAACAUUCUGUCCCUGCCUAUCUUCACCUCACCUUACCUUAUUUUUUGUUUGUAUGAAGAAGUCUUUCCUCCUUUUGUAUUUUCUUUUAAUGGAAAUAAAAAUAAGAAAAUAAAAAAAAUCUAAAACUGAAUUCCUAAUUUUUCCAUCAGAGGUAGAAAGAGCAACUGUGUUUUUUCACCCUCUUUUAGAGGCCACUUUUAAAGCUAUAAAAAUAUUCUGUGUGGAUUGGACCAAACUAUGUUCUGGAGUAAACUAUCAAAGAUCAGCAGAGCUGCAUGGCAUUUCAGAUAGAAAGUUCAUGAACCUGUGUUCAAUUUGUAUGUUGUUUACCUGAUUUUUCUUUUCUUUUUUUUCUGAAUCCAUGCUUCAAUAUGUUAAUACAAAGUUCUGACUGUGAAGAACAAUGAAUAAUGACCAUGAUCAAUUACUGUUAUUUAUUACUAUCAGCACUAUUUUUUUACAUUGAUCCACAGAUCCCGCAAGAGUGAAAGAAAAAGAACUAACUUCUUCCUAAAAAGUAGUUACACUUUAAUCAAAGCAUUAACCACAAGUCACUAAUAAACUGAAAAUUCAACAUGAAAAUGCAGGAAUAGUCCCACCCCCCCUGCCCCCCCAAAUUUUAAAGACAAC
ensembl:lncRNA